ensembl:lncRNA
GACCUUUGAGUUCCGAAGUAGCAUUUUUUUUCCACCUCAACAGAUUUUUUGAUAGAUGUGUCAUAUGUAGGAUUGGUUUUUUUUUACUUCUUGAAAUGUUCCAUGCAGGUGUUUCUGAUAGGGAUAUAAACUGGCAGCUUGAGCCUCCUCUUUGCCUACUUACUUGUCUCUCUGAAAUGCUGUGAUAAAACAUUAAUAAGGGCUGCCAGCCCAAAGUAAUGGUGGGGUAGGUCACACAUGUAUGCGCAUACAUGCACGCACAGUUGACCUGGAGCUAUUCUUUGCACAUCUAGAAAUGCACGGCCCAUUUGAUCCUAUUGUUUUCAAAGAUAAAGGAAUGUACAUCAAUUCUGCCUUUUUAGAUGGCACCUUCAAAACAAAUUAAACAGCAACAAGGGUUUAAUGUGUGACAAUGCAUAAUGUGUUACAGGGCCCUCAGAUCCAGCCUCAACUGGCAGUCUGCUCGUGUUAUAACAGUUCAUAAGAAAUUCAAGUUCAAACCAGAGUUCCUACUCUGGAACCUCAUGGGCCUUGGGAAGGCUCUGUCAGGUAAGAAAUUUUUCUUGUAUAAAAUUGGGAAUAAGAAUCACCUAGUUGGAAAAGUUCAGAAAUGAGACCAUUUCUUAUAAGAAAGAUGAUGGUAACUUUUACUGUUUCUUUUCUGGAGGGCACAGAGGAAAUCCUGGGCUGCAAGUAGUGCAGAACUCAAAUUUUUAAAGACUUAACGUUCCCUAAGCAGAAGUGGUACACCUUGUUAAGGAAGAAGAGGCAGUUCUGAGAGGAGCUUGUUGUGAGCAGGUCUUUCCAAGGAUCUCUUUCUGAGGCCAUGUGCUUUCGUGCUUUGCUAGAGAGGUCUUAUGCUCCUCCAGGCUCUGGUUUAAACCAUGCUUUGGCAACUUUCUCUUUGCUUCAUUAUUGGCGUUAUCUUACAUCUCUACAGCAGAGCCUGUAAGGUAGUACUUUACAUGACCUUGAUGUUUUCUCACUACCAACAGCAAC